rnacentral:rRNA from 13 species
UCCAUUUGGAGAUUUAAAUGGUCUAGCCUGCUCACUGAUAAAUUAUUGAAGAGCCGCGGUACUUUGACCGUGCAAAGGUAGCAUAAUCAUUAGGGUCUUAAUUAGAACCUGGAAUGAAUGGUUGGACAAAAGAAAAGCUGUUUCUAAUACAUAAAUUGAAAUUUACUUUUAAGUGAAAAGGCUUAAAUAAGUUGAAGGGACGAUAAGACCCUAUAAAGCUUUAUAUAUUAUUUAGAUCUAGUUAAUUCAAGUAAAUAACAACUAAGUUUAAUUAUAUUAUUUUGUUGGGGCGAUGAAAGUAUAAAUAAAGUUAACUGCUUAUUAGAAACACAAUCAUAGUUGAGCUAACUUAAUGAUCCUUUUUAAAGAUUAAAAGAUUAAGUUACUUUAGGGAUAACAGCGUUAUUUUUCUUAAGAGUUCAUAUCGAAAGAAGGAGAUUGCGACCUCGAUGUUGAAUUAAAGUGUCUAUAUAAUGCAGA